rnacentral:rRNA from 1 species
CCUACGGGUGGCAGCAGUGAGGAAUAUUGGUCAAUGGGCGCGAGCCUGACCCAGCCAAGUAGCGUGAAGGAUGAAUGCCCUACGGGUUGUAAACUUCUUUUAUAAAGGAAUAAAGUGAGGCACGUAUGCCUUUUUGUAUGUACUUUAUGAAUAAGGAUCGGCUAACUCCGUGCCAGCAGCCGCGGUAAUACGGUGGGUCCGAGCGUUAUCCGGACUUAUUGGGUUUAAAGGGAGCGUAGGUGGGUUGUUAAGUCAGAUGUGAAAGUUUGCGGCUCAACCGUAAAAUUGCAAUUGAUACUGGCAGCCUUGAGUACAGUUGAGGUAGGCGGAAUUCGUGGUGUAGCGGUGAAAUGCUUAGAUAUCACGAAGAACUCCGAUUGCGAAGGCAGCCUACUAAACUGUCACUGACAUUGAUGCUCGAAAGUGUGGGUAUCAAACAGGAUUAGAUACCCCUGUAGUC